rnacentral:rRNA from 1 species
UACGUAGGGUGCGAGCGUAAUCGGAAUUACUGGGCGUAAAGCGUGCGCAGGCGGUUCGUUGUGUCGGUGGUGAAAGCCCCGGGCUUAACCUGGGAAUGGCCAUGGAAACUGGCGAACUGGAGUGUGGCAGAGGGGGGUGGAAUUCCGCGUGUAGCAGUGAAAUGCGUAGAGAUGCGGAGGAACACCGAUGGCGAAGGCAGCCCCCUGGGCUAGCACUGACGCUCAGGCACGAAAGCGUGGGGAGCAAACAGG